CCUACGGGUGGCAGCAGUGAGGAAUAUUGGUCAAUGGACGAGAGUCUGAACCAGCCAAGUAGCGUGAAGGAUGACUGCCCUAUGGGUUGUAAACUUCUUUUAUAUGGGAAUAAAAUGUUCCACGUGUGGGAUUUUGUAUGUACCAUAUGAAUAAGGAUCGGCUAACUCCGUGCCAGCAGCCGCGGUAAUACGGAGGAUCCGAGCGCUAUCCGGAUUUAUUGGGUUUAAAGGGAGCGUAGGUGGAUUGUUAAGUCAGUUGUGAAAGUUUGCGGCUCAACCGUAAAAUUGCAGUUGAAACUGGCAGUCUUGAGUACAGUAGAGGUGGGCGGAAUGCGUGGUGUAGCGGUGAAAUGCUUAGAUAUCACGAAGAACUCCGAUUGCGAAGGCAGUUCACUGGACUGCAACUGACACUGAGGCUCGAAAGUGUGGGUAUCAAACAGGAUUAGAUACCCCAGUAGUC
rnacentral:rRNA from 1 species